UACGUAGGGGGCAAGCGUUGUCCGGAUUUAUUGGGCGUAAAGAGCGUGUAGGCGGCCUGACAGGUCUGCUGUGAAAACUCGAGGCUCAACCUCGAGAUGUCGGCGGAAACCGUCUGGCUAGAGUCCGGAAGAGGAGAGUGGAAUUCCUGGUGUAGCGGUGAAAUGCGCAGAUAUCAGGAAGAACACCUAUGGCGAAGGCAGGUCUCUGGGCCAUUACUGACACUGAGAAGCGAAAGCAUGGGGAGCGAACAGG
rnacentral:rRNA from 1 species